rnacentral:rRNA from 1 species
GACAGAGGGUGCAAACGUUGUUCGGAAUUACUGGGCGUAAAGCGCGUGUAGGCGGCGUGGCAAGUCGGGCGUGAAAGCCCACGGCUCAACCGUGGAAGAGCACUCGAAACUGCUGCGCUAGAGUUCUGGAGAGGAAGGCGGAAUGCUUGGUGUAGAGGUGAAAUUCGUAGAUAUCAAGCGGAACACCGGUGGCGAAGGCGGCCUUCUGGACAGUGACUGACGCUGAAACGCGAAAGCGUGGGGAGCAAACAGGAUUAGAAACCCCCGUAGUCC